ACAAUGCUUUUCCGUUGCCGCCUCCUCACGUCUCAGCCUAGCGCGCCUCACCUUCGUCCGUCAUCCGCCGCUCGACCGUAGGUCUCGGUCGUCCAGCCACACAAGGUUCCGGUCAUUUCAGCCGCAUGAAGUUUCGUCCGCUUCCAGCCGCGCCGAGUUUCUUCGAUUUUUUUCCUUCCGUUUCCGUUUUGCGUCCACCAGUCGCUGACUGUUUCGGUUCUGCCAAGAACAUGGUGCGUUGUUGCUCAAUUAAGGAUUUCAAGACAUUUGAUCAAUAUUGUCCAACAACACCAAGGUUCGUUUGGGCGCCUUUUGGUAAGUUAUAUUGGUUGUUUUGAUUGGUUUAUUCUAGGGCAAUUCGAGCAUCUGACUCGAGUCAAAAAGGGAUUUGGUUUAUAAUUGGAGUUUGGUUGCUAACUGUUUGACAUAAUUUCGAGGUAAGUGGUUUAUUGCCGGUAUUGCCCUAAGAUCUUGAUUUAUAAUUGGAGUUUGGUGGCUAACUGUUUGACAUAAUUUUGAGGUAAGUGGUUUACUGUCGCUAUUGCCCUAAGAUCUUGAUAAGCCAAAAAUUCUUGUGUCACUGUAUGUAUGAGUAAAAUGUGCUAAAGUUUGAUGUAUGGGUAACUAUGAUAAAGUUUGAUGGUGAUUCAUGGCCUUGAUUGCAUGCUUAUGUCUGUUUGAGAUUUUUAAUGACGGUUAGUGCCAUGAUUCAUGGCCUUGAUUGCAUGCUUAUGUCCAUUGAGAUUUUAGUGACUGUUAAGGUUGCCAUUGGGCUAUGCACAUUGCAUGUUGUGAGCCUUCGGACUCACACCCUAUUCUUAUGUACGGUGUCCUUUUUGGGAUCACCACUUAUGUUUAUGCCUGUGACCUCCGGUGUCACUACUUAUGAAAGCGUGCCUUGGGUUCACCUCUUAUGCCUAUGCCUAUGCCUAUGCCUAUGAUGCCAUCAGAUCACUGAGUGAGCCUAGUAGUGGGCCGCUUACUGAGUAUACUUUUAUACUCACCCUUUUCUUUUCCUAUUUUUCAGGUAAGGAUAAUGAUAAACCGGUGCAUGGCAAGAGAGAUCCGUGACCUGGCCAUUAGGACGACUUACUGCUUCCGCAUCUAGUGUCAUGUUUUGGAGUCUGGUUUAGGAG